GACACCAUGACUUUCAUCACCAUCUUCAUCUGGACACUGACUCUCUGUUGUCAUGAGUCCAGAGGACAGGUGACUGUGACUCAGACUCCUGAAGUGAAAUCUGCUCUUCCAGGAGACACUGUCACAAUUAACUGUAAAACCAGUACUGCAGUGUUUUACUCUGGUGGUCACUACCUGCACUGGUACCAACAGAAACCUGGACAGGCUCCUAAACUCCUCAUAAAAUAUGCUAACCAGUUAGAGUCAGGAAUUCCAAACCGUUUCAGUGGCACUGGAUCUGGGACUGACUUCACUCUGACCAUCACAGGAGUCCAGACUGAAGAUGCAGGAGAUUAUUACUGUCAGAGUUACCAUAGCAUCAGUGGUAAAGGUCUGUUCACACAGUGA